rnacentral:rRNA from 1 species
CAAUAGCGUAUAUUAAAGUUGUUGCAGUUAAAAAGCUCGUAGUUGGAUUUCUGGGAGGGUGCCAAUGUCCGCCGAAGCGCGUGCGCAGCGGCGCCCUUCCAUCCUUCUGUUAACGCCUCUUGGCAUUCAUUUGCUGGUGGCGGGCUCAGAUAUUUUACCUUGAGAAAAUUAGAGUGUUUCAGGCAGGCUAGGCCGGAAUACAUUAGCAUGGAAUAAUGGAAUAGGACUACGGUCUCUUUGUUGGUUUGAGGGACUGCAGUAAUGAUUAAUAGGGAUAGUUGGGGGCAUUAGUAUUUAUUAGCUAGAGGUGGAAUUCUCUAAUUUGAUAAAGACUAACUUAUGCGAAAGCAUUUGCCAAGGAUGUUUUCAUUAAUCAAGAACGAAAGUUAGGGGAUCAAAGACGAUCAGAUACCAU